UCAUCCAUCCAUCCACCCAUAUUUUGAAAUAAUUGAGAAUAAAUUGCAAGUAUUUUGGCUCUGAAUUUCUUCAUCCAUUCAGACUGCUAAACAGAAUACCACAACUGGAUGGCUUAUAAUCAACAGAAAUUAUUUUUUCUCAAUUCUGGGAAACCGAGAAGUCCAAGAUCAAAGCAACAGAAGAUUCUGUGUUUGGUGAAAGCCUACUCCCUAGUUUAUAGAUGUUUGUCCUCUGCCUGUGUCCUCCUGUGGUGGGACCCUAUUUUGAUUGGUUGGUAAUGAAGAGUUCAAUAUUUUACAAGUUUGGAAACAGAGUGCCUGUUUGUGCUUGAUUGUUGAAGACCUACUGGUUUCAUUCUCCAAGAGACACAUGUCUGGUGACAGAGAGAAUGAUAACAAGGCGGCUACUGAACUUCUUCAUCCUGUGUAUCUGAAACUCUGUACCCUUGACCAACAUUUCCCCAAUGCCUCUGCUCCAAACCCUGCUUGGGGCUCUGUUGCCAGCAGCAAGUAUGCUGACUGAAAACUGUCACAACAGCGAUCAUUACAAUCCGGGAGUUGAGUUUGACUGGAACAUAUGUCUUCAAUUUUAAUAGCUCAGCUUCCCAGAUGCCCUAAAGGAGAAUAUUGCCUGAGAAGGAGCUUUUCAUAGACUUGGCAGAGGCCCAUUUCCAACUUGGAGACCUGGCCUGACAGAAAAGUAUGCAACAGAACAAAUAUUCAAAAUAAGAACCUGUGAGUAUUAAAGCUAAGGGUUUUGUACU